rnacentral:rRNA from 1 species
CAGUAGCCGCGGUAAUACGAAGGGUGCAAGCGUUAAUCGGAAUUACUGGCGUAGAGCGUGCGUAGGCGGUUUGUUAAGUCUGUUGUGAAAUCCCCGGGCUCAACCUGGGAAUGGCAAUGGAUACUGGCAGGCUAGAGUGUGAUAGAGGAUGGUGGAAUUCCCGAUGUAGCGGUGAAAUGCGUAGAGAUCGGGAGGAACAUCAGUGGCGAAGGCGGCCAUCUGGAUCAACACUGACGCUGAGGCACGAAAGCGUGGGGAGCAAACAGGAUUAGAUACCCGGGUAGUCCCUGUCUCUUAUACC